ACGGUAGAAUUGAUUUUAAUUUGACACCCAUUCUCCCCACAGUAUCCACUAAAAUUGAAGACUAACCCAGUUAAAGGGUAUACAGAAACACAGGGACAUGGUGAUGUCACUGGCAUGGGUGUGUUCCCAUAAUGCAUUGGGGUGCCUUUGGUUUGUAUUUAGUUAAUAAGAAAAUACUUUUAAUUGGAGGAAUGUUGGGCAGGUGUUGUGGUGUUAGUCUGUGUUGAAAGAGUGUUUUAGUGUGGUUGUUUUUUGUUUUGUUUUAUUGACUUUUGAGCACUCACCAUCAUGAUGAAAGUGUUGCUGUUAUUAAAGGCUCUAAUUUUAAAAGGUAAAUACUUGAAAGUGGAAGAAAGAAACUACGAACUACUAUUGCACUGACUACUUUACAAAAGCUUAUUUUACAACAUCAAUGUAAUGUAAUGUUAAUUUAUAUAUAGCUGAAAAUUCACAAAAAACCCACAUUGUUUAAAUUGUAUUUAGGUGGAGUGGAAAAACAAGAAGAGCUAGCUAGAUAAAAGUUUCUUUAACUGUAAACAAAGCCCUCUAACUUGCAGCCAGAGUGCCAAAUCGUGAAUUACAAGGACAUUUACAUUCAUGCUGUAAGAUUGCUUGUGAAUAUUAUGUUUCUAAGGAGUUCCCAAACAAAGUUAGCCUGCUCCAUGCUAGCCCCGUAACUCUCUGCUCUGUACAAGUUCAGGCAAAAGACAAAGGAGACUGCAGGAGGUGCCUCAAACCUUUCCAGAGACCAUUCACUCAACUCUCUAAACAGAAAUUUGGGGGAUGACCAUUGGGCAGCAACUAGACUGUACUGUUGAGAUGAGUGAUGAAAGCAACUGACAAACCAUCCUUACGAGCAUCGCCCGCUGGCUGGGGUAAGCUGGAGGCUGGAGAAGAGGAGUCGCACUGUGGGGAGUUUCUGUAUAAAUGACAGAAUAUUGCAGCGCUGCCAGCUCGCAGGUCGAGGCCUCCAUGCACAGUGCAACUCUCGAGCUGGUUUACCGCUGCGCCGGUGC